rnacentral:rRNA from 1 species
ACUCCUACGGGAGGCAGCAGUGGGGAAUAUUGCACAAUGGGCGCAAGCCUGAUGCAGCAACGCCGUGUGAGUGAAGAAGGUUUUCGGAUCGUAAAACUCUGUCCUAAGGGAAGAAACAAAUGACGGUACCUUAGGAGGAAGCCCCGGCUAACUACGUGCCAGCAGCCGCGGUAAUACGUAGGGGGCAAGCGUUAUCCGGAAUCACUGGGGCGUAAAGGGUGCGUAGGCGGCUUAGCAAGCCAGGGGUGAAAGGCAUUGGCUCAACCAAUGUAAGCCUUUGGAACUGUUAAGCUUGAGUGCAGGAGAGGUAAGUGGAAUUCCUAGUGUAGAGGUGAAAUUCGUAGAUAUUAGGAGGAACACCAGUGGCGAAGGCGACUUACUGGACUGUAACUGACGCUGAUGCACGAAAGCGUGGGUAGCGAACAGGAUUAGAUACCCUGGUA